GGGAGGUAAUACAUGAACUGCCAAACAAUCUACUCCGCAUAUCGUCCUCGGUCUCCCAAGUGGCCUCUUCUAUCAGACGGUGCUUCCAUUGCACCUUCACUGAAGUGAUAUUCUUGGACCUCAACUUUCUCACUUGCCUAUCCAAGAUUGCUACCGGCUCUUCAUCGAAGGACAAAUUCUGAUCAAAUAAUACGGAAUCCCAUUGAAUGCUAUAAGUCCCGUCUGAAUGGUACUUCUUUAACAUGGAAACAUGGAAUAUCGGAUGAACACCUACCAAACCUAGUGGAAAAGCCAACUCAUAAGCCACCUCUCCAACACAACGAAGAAUCUCAAAAGGGCCAAUAUACCUCGGGCUCAACUUUCCCUUCAGGUUUUAAGAUUGUUUGGGGCAUCAUUCAUCUUGUUCAAUUAUUGGUCUUUCUCAUCAAAGUAAUCUGAUUAACAGAAGAAGUUUUCUAUCCCAGCAUGUGGAGAAGAGUUUGUCAUAAAGUCAAUAGGAAAGAAAUGGAGAGACUACAAAUGUGAUUUAAAAAAAAUGUUUAUAUGACAAAAUUUAAGACCAAAGAUGUGUUGUUGAAGAAUAAACCGGGUCGUAUACCAAGGGAUCAGUGGACUGGUUUGGUCUCCUCUUGGGUUUCAGAAAAAGAUAAGCGACGCAGCCAAACAAAUAGAAACAAUAGGGCCAAGCAAAAGAUGCCACACACAGGUGGAUUGAAAAGUAUUGCCACCUUGAUGGAUGAGAAGGCUAAAAAGGGAAUUGAGCCUACACGAGCGCAAGUUUUUAUAUUAACUCAUAAACCACGUAAAGAUGGCAGACCACUGGAUGAGGAGCCUGCAAAGACAAUUGACAUGAUCAAUGAAAAGUUGAGUAAUAGUGAAGGAUCGAAUGAGCAACCUCCUCGCUCUGUUGCUUGGGAAGGAGAUGUGUAUUCACAAGUGUUAGGAAAUGAAAAACUAGUUAUGUUCAUGGCUUAGGACUUGGUCCAACUCCUUCUGUACUAUGGGGUAGUAGAUCUUCUUUUCUAAAUAUUGUUGAAGAGGAUUCGCCUAAUGAGGUUGUAAAAAGGUUAGAACAAGAGGUAACAAAGUUAAAGGACAUAAAUGGAAAACAAAAUGAAGAACUGAGUUUGGUGAAACAAAAUCAAAAGAAGUUGCUAUCUGAAUUAGCAUAGGUGAGAAAAGCCAUGAGCAGAAAUGGUCCUAAUGAGUUAUCUAUACAUCAGAAUAUCAAUGGAAUUUCAGAUGACCAGGAAAGUCAAUUUUAAACGUUGGGAGUCAUUUAUUGAAAUUUAAAUCUUACAGAAAUAAUGUUAUCUAAUGUGUUAAUGUUUUUUAGGUUCCCAAUGCCAACAGUGGCCAUGAGCGAGUACAACAAUCACCGCAGAUGCUGUUUAGAGGACAUAAUGUUGCUAAAAAAAUUCCAUCAUCUCACGGUCAUAUAGUAUGAUGUUCGAAUAGCACGUGGAAGAUUCAAUAUUAUGCAGAGUUGUGAAACUGUUGGAGGGUGCAUUUAGAAAUUUGUUGCUGCAAGUAUUGGACAGGAAUAGAUUACAAGGACAUUAGCUAUUUAGUUUAGACACAUAAUAUUAUUUUUUACUUCGCUGAUUACAUUAGUAUUAUGAAUUAGUACUUGCUACUGUUUAUCUUGAGUUACUGAAAUAUAUUAUAUUUUUAUAAAUUAUAAUAGUGUGUUUUUAUUAGCA